rnacentral:rRNA from 1 species
CCUACGGGAGGCAGCAGUAAGGAAUAUUGGUCAAUGGGCGCAAGCCUGAACCAGCCAUGCCGCGUGCAGGAAGACGGCCCUAUGGGUUGUAAACUGCUUUUGUCAGGGAAUAAACCCCCGCUCGUGAGCGGGGCUGAAGGUACCUGAAGAAUAAGCAUCGGCUAACUCCGUGCCAGCAGCCGCGGUAAUACGGAGGAUGCAAGCGUUAUCCGGAUUCAUUGGGUUUAAAGGGUGCGCAGGCGGAUUGGUAAGUCAGGGGUGAAAUCCCACAGCUCAACUGUGGAACUGCCUUUGAUACUGUCAGUCUAGAGUAUAGUUGAAGUUGGCGGAAUGUGUCAUGUAGCGGUGAAAUGCUUAGAUAUGACACAGAACACCGAUCGCGAAGGCAGCUAGCUAAGCUAUAACUGACGCUCAUGCACGAAAGCGUGGGGAUCAAACAGGA